UACGAAGGGGGCUAGCGUUGUUCGGAAUUACUGGGCGUAAAGCGCGCGCAGGCGGCUAUCCAAGUCAGUGGUGAAAGCCCGGAGCUCAACUCCGGAACUGCCAUUGAAACUGUUUAGCUUGAGGAUGAGAGAGGUGAGUGGAAUUCCCAGUGUAGAGGUGAAAUUCGUAGAUAUUGGGAAGAACACCGGUGGCGAAGGCGGCUCACUGGCUCAUUACUGACGCUCAGGGCGCGAUAGCGUGGGGAUCAAACAGG
rnacentral:rRNA from 1 species